AGGUGUUUUUAUUACACAAGACAAAAACGGAAAAACAGUAACAAAUGAUUGGUUAAGCCUUUCAAAACAAAGAAGUUGAAGGUCACUGGAAUAGGUUCAUUACACUCAAGCAAAGGCCUGGGGAAAUGAUAGAAUUACCUCUGUUGACCCAGAAGAGCACCAAAAGCACCAGUGUGCAGAAAUCAGAGACCUCAAGCUAAAAGUCAUAAAAGGACAAGAACCUGGAAGUCGUCGAACUGUGGAAGCAAAAGACCUGUAAUGCUCCUGCUUGCCGAGCUGUGAGCAGUGGUAGUAAAAGAGCAGUAACAUUCUCUCCUGCUUGCCAAACAGGAGAGAAGCCACUGGCACCACUCCCUCCCACUCACUGAACUAUAGAAGAGAAAAAAUUGAAACACCAAAAUUGGGGAAAUGCGAC
ensembl:lncRNA LINC02672 long intergenic non-protein coding RNA 2672